rnacentral:rRNA from 1 species
AGCAGCCGCGGUAAUUCCAGCUCCAAUAGCGUAUAUUAAAGUUGUUGCAGUUAAAAAGCUCGUAGUUGAAUUUCGGGAUCAGUACGCUGGUCGUGCCUUUGGUAUGUACUGGUGUCACUGAUUCCUCCCUUCUGAAGAACCGUUAUGCCAUUUAUUUGGUGUGGCGGGAAAUCAGGACUGUUACUUUGAAAAAAUUAGAGUGUUUAAAGCAGGCUCGCGCUUGAAUACAUUAGCAUGGAAUAAUGAAAUAGGACGUUUGAUCUUAUUUUGUUGGUUUCUAGGAUCGACGUAAUGAUUAAUAGGGAUAGUUGGGGGCAUUAGUAUUCAAUUGUCAGAGGUGAAAUUCUUGGAUUUAUUGAAGACUAACUACUGCGAAAGCAUUUGCCAAGGAUGUUUUCAUUAAUCAAGAGCGAAAGUUAGGGGAUCGAAGACGAUCAGAUACCGUCGUAGUCUUAACCAUA